rnacentral:tRNA from 1 species
GGGGACGGAGCUCGGUGGACGGGCAGCCGCCUGUCAAGCGGAAGGCCGCCGGUUCGAGUCCGGUCGUCCCCG